AUGCUUUGGUAGCACAUACACUAAAAUCAGUGUAAUACAGAAAGGAUUAGCAUAGCCUAUGCACAGGUAUGACAUACAAGUUUAAAGUGGUUCAUAAUUUUAAU
ensembl:snRNA U6 U6 spliceosomal RNA